GGGGAUGAAAUGGUUUCGACAUAAUGCCAGAAGCAUAAAUAGCGAGUAGUGGAUUCUCGUUGGCCACUUAAAUAAACGAGAAACUAAAUAUAAACGCUGAUAAUAAUAAUGAAUUAGCAUUUGCUGCCUAGUGUGCAGUAACGCCAACUAAAAUAUUCCCACAUAUUUUAGUUGGUGUCAUAAUAGUGGGGAACAAAGCUGUUUUUUCUAUGGAAACAGUGGGUAGAUAAUAGAUAUAUUUAAUAAUAGUAUGUUUAUUUACGAUUAUUAAAUGAAUUUAAAUAAUAAACUGCACUCGGAGAAGUUUAUGUGGAAAGCAUUGUGGACAGGGGUUCGACUCCCCUCAUCUCCACCA
rnacentral:tmRNA from 1 species